CCGUUAUAGUUUGAUCCUGGCUCAGGACGAACGCUGGCGGCGUGCUUAACACAUGCAAGUCGAACGCUGAAGCUUGGUGCUUGCACUGGGUGGAUGAGUGGCGAACGGGUGAGUAAUACGUGAGUAACCUGCCCUUGACUCUGGGAUAAGCCUGGGAAACUGGGUCUAAUACUGGAUACGACGGCGCAUCGCAUGGUGUGUUGUGGAAAGGGUUUUACUGGUUUUGGAUGGGCUCACGGCCUAUCAGCUUGUUGGUGGGGUAAUGGCUCACCAAGGCGACGACGGGUAGCCGGCCUGAGAGGGUGACCGGCCACACUGGGACUGAGACACGGCCCAGACUCCUACGGGAGGCAGCAGUGGGGAAUAUUGCACAAUGGGCGGAAGCCUGAUGCAGCGACGCCGCGUGAGGGAUGACGGCCUUCGGGUUGUAAACCUCUUUCAGCACGGAAGAAGCGAGAGUGACGGUACGUGCAGAAGAAGCGCCGGCUAACUACGUGCCAGCAGCCGCGGUAAUACGUAGGGCGCAAGCGUUGUCCGGAAUUAUUGGGCGUAAAGAGCUCGUAGGCGGUUUGUCGCGUCUGCUGUGAAAGCCCGGGGCUUAACCCCGGGUGUGCAGUGGGUACGGGCAGACUUGAGUGCAGUAGGGGAGACUGGAAUUCCUGGUGUAGCGGUGAAAUGCGCAGAUAUCAGGAGGAACACCGAUGGCGAAGGCAGGUCUCUGGGCUGUUACUGACGCUGAGGAGCGAAAGCAUGGGGAGCGAACAGGAUUAGAUACCCUGGUAGUCCAUGCCGUAAACGUUGGGCACUAGGUGUGGGGAACAUUCCACGUUUUCCGCGCCGUAGCUAACGCAUUAAGUGCCCCCC
rnacentral:rRNA from 1 species